GAUCGCGCCACUGCACUCCAGCCUGGGUGACAGAGCAAGACUCCGUCUCAAAAAAAACCCCAAAAAACCUGUGGCUUCUGCCUUGUCUUCUGUCCCUGGGAUUACUCCCUCUGGGAGAAAGCAGGUGUCAUGUCAAGGGGACACCCAAACAGCUCUGUGGAGAGUUCAGUGCCAUGAGGAACUAAGAUCUCCUCCCACAGCCGUGCAGCCGUGUCGGGAACUUGAGGGUGAAUCCCCAAGCACAGUGAAAUCUUCGGAUGACAGCAGCCCCAGCAGCAUCUUGAUUGCCGCCUCGUGAGUGAUCCUAAAACAGAAACUUUCAGCUAAUUUGCCUCCUCAUUUCUGACCCACACAAACUGAGAUUCAAAAACGUGUUGCUUGUGUUAAGCCCUCAAGUUCUGGGGUAAUUUGUUACACAACAAUAGGAGAGGAAACUACAUAUAUAUUUGAGAUGUCAGCUUUUCUUUCUGGUUUCUACCAGCCCCAUUAAGGUUUCAAACCUUUUAGAUCCAAGUCUUGGCCUGAGCUAGGGCUCUGGGAGUGAGGAACUGCCUAUCUCCCCGGUGGGGAGGAAGCUUCUCCAAGCACCGCGCAUUGUCAGAGUGGGCAUGGGGCCUGAGCAUGUCCUGUGCCAUGCAUAGCUCUGGGGGACACUCUGUCUGCCCCUGAAUUGCCUCACUGUUACAGUUAAGAAGAUGAACCUCGUCAGGGGCUAUUACCAGUGCUGCCUUUUGUUCCAAACCACUGCAGAGGAACAAAAAAAAAACAAACAAAAAACUGCACUAGUUUUAAAAAUUGGAAGUGGCAAAAUAGGAGAUGUAGGCUUGAUGUAGAUAUUAAGUAAUUAUUCUAAAUUAGUGAAAACUGACAACUGAACAACACUGAUUAUGAAACAAAGAUUUUGGACCGCCCACCCUGAAUAAUGAAGAGUUAUGUCAAGCAAAAUUGAUAUGAAACGAUGUGUAGUGAUUUCAAGUUGACCCCCCUUCCACUGUUGAUAAGUACUCGGUCACUUCGAUAGUUUUAUUUCUAUUUUUUUCUUAAGAAGGCUUAUUCUAAAGGUCCUCUUUUCACUAUCAUUGUAAAAAAUAAAAUAAUAAUUUUAAUUAUUUGACUUGGAAAUAGUCUCUCUUUUUUCCCCUAUAAGAUUAAUUGUCCUAAAAUACCAUUUUCCUGGCAAGCUAAAAAAAAAAUCUUCAGUAACUUCUAUUGAUUUUAGAAUCUGGUCCAAAUUUCCCAGCCUGACAAUCUAGGUCAUUCCAUGGCUGUCCAACCCUUCCCUACAGAAAUGUUUUGUUCCAGCUGGCAUCCUCGUUUUCCUUUAGACAUAUACAGCUCAUUGCUGCCUCAAACCUUUUAUUCAUGAUGCAUCCCAAAAGGAAUGCUCUCCUCCAGGGUACCUUCUCGGCCCAUUUCUCUCCUUAAACUAGUUUCCUUUUCUUCAAUUCCUGUUGAUCUCUCACACGUAUCUUCUCCAGAGUCACUAACUGACUCCUUUACAUAGAGACAUUCAGUGCGUGACUGGGGAAUAUAAGUAAUGGGCCUCCCUUGGGAACUUCAAUAGAGCAGUUUCCCUUACUGAGGUAUAGAGGGCACCGAAAGAAUAAUUUGGGUGAAUAAAAUAUGUAUUUUUUUUUGUUUUUGAGAGAGAGUCUGUCUCUGUUGUCCUAUCUCAGCCCA
rnacentral:lncRNA from 1 species